rnacentral:rRNA from 1 species
GCCAGACUCCUACGGGAGGCAGCAGUGGGGAAUAUUGCACAAUGGGGGGAACCCUGAUGCAGCGACGCCGCGUGGGUGAAGGAGUAUUUCGGUAUGUAAAGCCCUAUCAGCAGGGAAGAACAAUGACGGUACCUGACUAAGAAGCACCGGCUAAAUACGUGCCAGCAGCCGCGGUAAUACGUAGGGGGCAAGCGUUAUCCGGAUUUACUGGGUGUAAGGGGAGCGUAGACGGCAGUGCAAGUCUGGAGUGAAAGGCGGGGGCUCAACCCCCGGACUGCUCUGGAAACUGUACGGCUGGAGUGCAGGAGAGGUAAGUGGAAUUCCUAGUGUAGCGGUGAAAUGCGUAGAUAUUAGGAGGAACACCAGUGGCGAAGGCGGCUUACUGGACUGUAACUGACGUUGAGGCUCGAAAGCGUGGGGAGCAAACAGGAUUAGAUACCCCAGUA